GAGGAAUAUGGGUUUAUUUACAGCAUUUACAUCAGUCUAACAUGACUGAGAAAGUACAUCAGUCUAACAUGACUGCUUGAGAGAGAGUGUCCUGAGCAGCCGCACUACAGCGGUUUUUAAACACUCGGUCCUCUCCCGAUACAAGGUGCAUGCGAACGUUCGUUUCGUCAUCGCAAACUAGCCGCCUCCCCGCAGGACGGUGUACACACACAAAUGCACACACGUUCGAAUGUCCGGAGUCGACGUCAGAGGGGCCCCGUGGAACGCGGAGCCAUUCCGGGUAGCUCGUUGGGGAGUGUCAGUUAUAAAAACCUUAAACAAUAGCAGUAGUUGUGACAUUGACGGUUUUCAAGUGUGCCCAAUUAAACAUGUAGCUGAAAUCAUUGCCCCAAUACUCACCCAUAUUUUUAACAUGUGUUUGGAAUCGGCAGUUUUUCCGGUGAAGAUGCAGUCUGCGAAAGUAACUGUUCUAUAUAAAAAAGGAGAUCGUAAUGAUUUGGGAAAUUACAGGCCAGUAUCUAUUUUGCCAAUCUUUUCAAAGGUGCUUGAACAAAUUUUGCAUUCGAGGAUGACAAAUUUUAUUGAGAAACAUAACCUGUUAACACCACACCAGUUUGGUUUUCGUAAGAAAAAGUCAGUCGAGUUAGCAUUAGUAGAGCAAAAAGAAUAUAUAUUAACAGAGUUUGAAAACAAAGCUAUAGUUGUUGGUAUUUUCGUAGACUUUUCUAAGGCCUUUGACUUAGUUGAUCAUGACAUUUUAUUGGAGAAAUUAAACUAUUAUGGAAUACGAGGACAGGCACUAUCUCUUGUCAAAUCCUACUUAUCUGAGAGAACACAAAUUGUGAAAAUCGACACCUUUACUUCUAAGGCUAGAGCUGUCCAUUGUGGAGUGCCGCAGGGAAGUAUUUUAGGGCCUUUGCUUUUUAUUAUAUAUCUGAAUGAUAUCGUCAAUAUUAACUCUCAGGCAAGGUUCAUUAUCUACGCGGACGACACGAGUAUUUUCUUCACUGGUAAUAAUGUUCAAUUUCUUAUAGAACAAUGCAACAAUGCAAUGAAAUCCUUAGAGGAAUGGUCGAGAGUGAAUCUAAUGAAGAUAAAUGCAAACAAAACAAAAGCAGUUAUAUUCAGACCGAAAAACAAGCAAAUACCUCCCCAUCAAGACAUUGUAUUAAACUCAAAGACUAUUGAAAUAGUCGAGACCUUCAAAUGCCUGGGUGUCUUCUUUUCAGCGAACAUGUCUUGGGACAAUCACGUCAAACAUGUUUUAAGCAAAAUAAGUAGAAUAACCGGUGUAGUAGGCCGUAUGAGAUACAUUCUUUCCACGCGUAUUAAACUCUUGCUGUACAAUUCACUUUUCCAAUCACAUUUAAACUAUUGCCAAUUAGUAUGGGGUAAUACAACAUCCAUCAAUCUAGAACAUAUUCACCUGUUACAAAAGAAGUAUCUCCGCAACGCAUAUAACGCUUCCUACACAGCAUCGACAAUAACCUUCUUUAAUAAUUCUGGUGUGAUCCCAGCUCACAAUCUCUACAGAUAUCGUCUGAGUCAUGUAUAUAAACUGGAAAUCCAUCGAAAUAUCAGCAACCUGCGUACUCUAGCCCAACUUCAGAGAGAAUCUACAAAUUACGUUACAAGACAUUUUGAGGAUUGGUUAGUACCAACACCCCGUUCAAAUUAUGGGAAACAAUGCCUUAAAUACAUAAUACCAACACUGUUAAAUUACUGUAAUUCGGUCCGAUUUGAUCUUUUCACGUCAUCAUCCAAGGAACUGAAACUGAUGUAUACGGUUUCGAUGUAAUAUCUGGUAGCGUUAUGUAUCUGUGUUAUUGCAUUCUUUUGUUGACAUGAAGCAAAGUGUGAGUGAGUAACAUGUCAUUGCAGCUAUGUAUACAGCUACAUAUAUGUAUGUAUAUGUAUGUGCGCAUAUGUUAUGCUGCCUCCCUGCAGAAACAGGGAUUGUGGACACGUCAAGCUGUUGAAGGACAGCUUUUUAUCUACAGUCCCUCCAUCUGUAAAUGUACAGGAUGGCAAAUAAACAAUUUCAUUUCAAUAGUUGGCCCGCCGAACUCAUUCCGUCACAACGGCGAUGAGGCUAGAGGUUGGUGGAAGUUUCAGCACAAAGCCUGCUUCCUCGAACGCAUCCUAGCUGAAGCGACGGAGAGUGGGGGAUGCCCAUAUUGUUCCCCGACACAAAGUCGAUUUAGUCACGCUGUGGCUAGAAGUUGGCGACGACGCUCCCGGAAUGUUGCCGCCAUAGUUGUAAGGGGGUGGAAAACUUGCACUGCAGCUGGCCGUUCUUAACAACGCACACAUGCACACAUGCACGCACGCACACGCACGCACACGCACACGCACGCACACGCACGCACACGCACGCACACGCACGCACACGCACGCACACACACGCACAGGCACGCACACACACGCACAGGCACGCACAGGCACGCACACGCACGCACACGCACACACGUACACACACGCACACACACACACGUACACACGCACACACACGUACACACACACACGUACACACGCACACACACACACGCACACACACACACGCACACACACACACGUGCACACACGCACACGUACACGUACACACGCACACACACACACGUACACGUACACACGCACACGUACACGUACACACGCACACGCAUUGUACACACGCACGUACACACACACGUACACACACACACACGUACACACACGCACACGCACGCACACACAGGUAUAGGUAUAUAUAUUGUUUUUUUUUUCUUCAACGGUUUUCCGUCUCUUUUUGGGUGCGGCGAAUUGGGUCGUUGCAACAGAUGCGCCGAAGACCAUUCGUGUAGUGUGCCGCCCUCUCCUUCAGAGCGGUGUGCUGACGGAGACCAGCUAGCCUCCUUGAGAGCUAUAGUCUAUAGUAGUCUAUAGUCUGUGCUAUAGUCUAUACUAGUAUUGCGCUAUAGUUCGGGCUCACGGCUGACGGCCGCCCGACGACCGUCCAAUUUAUUCCGGUUGCUGUCACCAGAUGUCACCAAAGAGCCGUUGUUCUACACCUCUCGGAACUUUCGGCACGCAUGUAGCCAUAGACUGCAAUGGAAAUGCAGGGUAAUUAAUUUGGGAAGAACAAGUUUAGUGCCGGUUAAGCAAGCCGUUCGUAUUUCAGAACGCUAACAACGCAGAGCGUGCGUCGACUCAUCCGUUAUAGUGCGCUUCUCUUAUAUAUGACCGACCGAUUAGCUUUAUCAAAUUACCGCGACAUGCGUCUCUUUUCUCACUGCAAUAUAAAGUAUAAUUGCAGCCAUCCCAUCGCGUGCACCAGGCUCGCUGUCACUGUGACAGGAGUGUCCGGAAUUUCAUCGCACACACUUAUAUGUGGCAUAUGUCCUGGGCGCUGAUUUAUUCUUCUUAGCUUUGUACCGGCCAACUCUUCUUCUCUAAUAAAUCUUCUUGCUUUGAAUAUUGCCCAAGUGACAAAAUUAUCAGUUUCUUAUUGUUACGCCAAUCCUUCGUUAUCACAUAUCCUUCGCUAUCUCAAUUGGUUAUAUAUAGCAUACGGACGUACCUCGUGAUCGAACGGCUUGUUAAUUGCGAGGUGGUCUCGAAAACAUCCGGAGAGUGAACGACGACAGUAAAGACAACACAACGGACUUAGCUGCACCGCAAGGUCGUGUCAGGUGGUCUAAGUGAGUUUCACGGUUCCCUACGAGUGAUGUGGCCCUAAGGUAUCGAUGCUAGAAGCAGAUAUGAAAACAGCAUUUUCCAUGCCUCUUUAUUCAAUCACACUUACCACAAUGGCGUGUAUAGAGAGACAGUUGCAAGGUAUACCAAAACUUUAAACAAUACGACAAACAGAACGUUGAAAGUAACAAAACAAGAAAAGUUCGAAGGGAUCAUUACACGGCGAGAGAAAGGAUCCGUCGGGAAAGAAAACGCCGUGACGUCAGGCAGGUCAGCUCGACGAGUUCCCGGUGUGCAGCAGCUGGCAUGAUGCUUUUCCCUAAGCCGUAUUUCAGUUUCGUGCCUCGCACGAAGUUAUUAGUCACGUGAUAGAUCGUAUCAAUACAUCUUCUGAUUAACGUUGUCCGAAGAACAGUUCUUCGGGGUCUGAUGAGGGCAUUGUGAAACGAGACUAGACGGAUGGCAGUAGCACAGGGGCGCCGGUAAAACGAGACACGUGAACAUGGCACCACGAACUUUUUAUUGACGGUUAAUUGAGGUGAGACAGUAGAUGUUACGGUGCCCAGUAAUGCAGGGCGCAGCUGGGGCACACCGGGGGUCCCCAAGCCUGCACAAAGCUCAUUUCCUGCGUCUUCGGGCUCGUUGUCCAGCGUCGCACAUGGCCGCACACUGACACAGUCUGUAUGUACAAGUCACGCAGCAGUAUGGUACAAUUCAGCGGAGCAGAGGAACCACACUGGGCUCGCCCCUUUGAGCGCGCGCCGAUCGCCUGGUCAAACAGUGACCGGGUGGAAUGACACACUCUUUCAAGAAUACGAGGGAACGCUGGACAUAUCGUUGCGCGGGGACGACUGCCUCUCUCGUGUCUAGCACGAUUUUCGAGAGCAAUCGUCUAUGCAUCAAAGUGGAGUGCGUUUACUCGGCGUGCGUCCGUCAGAAUGUGAUCGCGCCCCAUUGAGGUUGUUGUGACACUCUCGACAAAAGAGCUAAACAGGGGAGACGACAGUCAUUCUUGCACAACGGACUCGCUAGCCCUUGCGUUGUGCAAUUAGAGGGCACAUUCCCGCCACAGAGUUUAGUGCGGAGUCUGCGGGAGGCUCGUGACCGCGCUCGCGAAACUGGACAAUCGCCCCUUUACAGAGCAAAAAGCUCCAGGACACUGGUCCAGACGGGGUUGGUGACUAAAGGCCUUAAGGGCUUUGCUGAAGUUGUUAAGGGCAUGUGAAUUGUGCGACCGUCUUUGAGUGUUGUAGCGCGUAGUAUCGCGUUACUGUGUGAAUUUUCCGAUUAACUUUUUCCGCUUCUUAUUCUUUCUCCUUUUAUUCCCUUUAUCCCCUUUCCCCAUCACAGGGUAGCCAGCCGGUACUUACACUGGCUAACCUCCCCGUAUUUCCUCCUCUUUGACUCCACCCCCCCCCCCCCCCACGCUGGAACCGCCAGGCUCGACCACACCAGGAGAAUCUUGUAAACUGUGUGUUUAAUUCUGCUUCGGACGUCCUUGUAGCUUCAGCUAAUCUACUAUCGCAGCUUUCUUACUCGCAAUGACACGAUUAAUACGAACUCUAGCAAGAACUUCAAUUUUUUCGAAGCUUCAAUCCAAGUAGCCUCUAGAGGCGAUAAGGAAAAAAUGGAAGGAAACUAAACAAUAUAGCUAUUAUAAUCGUAGCUCUUGAAAUGGCACCCAGAUGUAACGAUCAGUGGAAUCAUUGCCCAAGUUUAGCUGCAUGAAGGACGACAGCGUACUAUGAUCAAUCAUCAUAGAGUCAAUGUGCGAAGAGUUAUGAAAUAAGUUUAACUGCUACUCAACGUUAAGCAUUUCACUAUACCGUAAACUAGCACUGUGGUGCGAUCUGGCAGCAAAUUGUAGAUUAAAGGGCACGAUGAAAGAAGCCGCAAGUACAGGCUCGACUAAGCCUAUAGGCAGACAAAGCCCGACGUCAAUGUUCCCAUCACUUCUAUGCUGGUUUCAGCGCCAAGCUGUUUGAGCGGAACUGUCUAUCAUGGUCGGAGCUGCGCAGCGCUUUCUUCGUCAGUGAGUUUGCGGAACGACUGCAAUGGCGUGGUUUGUGAACAACGGACUCGCGCUACAGGGCCGUUUGAAUGCACGAUGUGAUCAAGGAGGGCACGAAAGCUCGUCUAUCGCGUAGAAGACUCGACUGAAGAUGCCUCUGAUAAAUGUAUAGGCGCCAGAGAGAGGUGGAAGGGGAGUAAGCAGCUCGAUGAGGCGGUCUAAUCAACAAAAUGUUAUGAGUACACAAAUUUCCAUGCGCAGAAUGUUUCUUGAUAAAUACGACGGCGCGGCGCUGUUUCGAAAUCGAGCCUUCAUGACGGGCUAGAAUGGUUUUGUAAAAAAAUUCAUUCAGCUCGAUACUGUUGGGAAUACUAAGUUUUCGGGUCACAUCCGCGUCAGCUUCGGCCAGCUUUCAGCAGCUAACGCGUGUUCUAUUGUGCAACUGACAGGUCUCGCCAAAACGAGAAAACAAAAAAACAAA